CCUACGGGAGGCAGCAGUGGGGAAUAUUGCACAAUGGGGGAAACCCUGAUGCAGCGACGCCGCGUGAGUGAAGAAGUAUUUCGGUAUGUAAAGCUCUAUCAGCAGGGAAGAAAAUGACGGUACCUGAUCAAGAAGCCCCGGCUAACUACGUGCCAGCAGCCGCGGUAAUACGUAGGGGGCAAGCGUUAUCCGGAUUUACUGGGUGUUAAGGGAGCGUAGAGGGCAGCACAAGUCUGGAGUGAAAUGCCGGGGCUUAACCCCGGAACUGCUUUGGAAACUGUGCAGCUAGAGUGCAGGAGAGGUAAGUGGAAUUCGUAGUGUAGCGGUGAAAUGCGUAGAUAUUAGGAAGAACACCAGUGGCGAAGGCAGCUUACUGGACUGUAACUGACGUUGAGGCUCGAAAGCGUGGGGAGCAAACAGGAUUAGAUACCCCUGUAGUC
rnacentral:rRNA from 1 species